CCUGUCUUUUCCGGGAGGCGGUGCACUAUAGAGAGACCGCUUGGUGUGAAACCCAGAGGAAGGCGAGGGCAACGACAGGUCAGUAUGCCCCGAAUGUCCUGGGCUACACGCGCGCUACAAAGGACGGGACAAUGGGAAGCUAGGCCGAGAGGCCACGCUAACCCGAAACCCGUUCAUAGUUCGGAUUGAGGGCUGUAACUCGCCCUCAUGAAGCUGGAUUCCGUAGUAAUCGUGUUUCAAUAUAGCACGGUGAAUAUGCCCCUGCUCCUUGCACACACCGCCCGUCAAACCAUCUUAGUUGGGGGUGGGUGAGGCUGCGCUUUAUGGCGUAUUCGAGCCUGCCUUCGACAAGGAGGGUUAAGUCGUAACAAGGUAGCC
rnacentral:rRNA from 1 species